CUGUGCCGUGAGGUGGGUCAGGGAGCAGUUUGGUCGGGAGAGGAGCGAGAUCUUUCCCUCUGCAGGCCUCCACUGAGGGGCAGGGCUGAGGCUCCUGGACGGCUGGGGUUUCUGGAUAGCGGUGGGUACCUCCACACUAGGGGCACCCUGCUGGGACCCACCUGCCCUUCACAGGCCUGGCAGGGCCUCCUCCCUCCCCUGUCCCUCAGGGGAUCCUAGCACAGGCUGGGCAUUGGGGCAGCACAGGCCAACUCCUGCCCGGCUGACCCCUCGCUGACCCCUCGCUGACCCCAGGGAUCUCUCCGGCCUUCCAGCUCCACUGUGGGCAGGGUCUGAGGUCGCAGAGGAGGGGGCUAGGCCUGAAGGCAGCAGCUGCUGUGGGGAGGGGACCUGAGGACAGCCCCUCCUUUUGUUCCUCUGGAGACAGGGGUGAGAAUAGGCAGGUAGGAAAAAAGAGGCUCUGGGAGAGGGUGGGAGGCCUAUCGGGAUGGCGAGGCCUUAGAGGAGGUGCCUGUGACUGAUGCUGGGAGGGAAGGGGUUAAGGCGGUGGGGGGGCAGCCUAUGGCAGGAGGACACACCUGUGCGCAGGGCGGCGGGCGGGGCCCAGGUAAGGAGCCUGCGCUGCCGGGCAGGCGGAGAAGGAAGGAGGAAGAGUGGAGGCCGGGGCGGGCUCUAGGCCGUUGAAUCUGGGGCUUCAAAGCCCCUUCGUCUCCCUGGCACCCACUCUCUGGGGGCAGGCGGGCCCGGUGACAGGGAGCCCUGAAGACCAUGGAGGCCUACUGACCAACGACCUCUGAUCUUUACCCCUCCGGAUGGGGGACGGAUCACUAGGCAAAGGGGAACAAUGGGAAGGAGACAAAAUGGCUGCCUCUACAGCUGCAGCAAGAUUUGGAAACACUGGUUCCCCAGGCACCUCCAUUGUCUUCCCCUUGGAAACAUGAAAUAAAUAAAGUGUGACUAGGAACAUGA